CGGCGGACGGGUGAGUAACGCGUGGGUAACCUGCCUUAUACAGGGGGAUAACAGUUAGAAAUGACUGCUAAUACCGCAUAAGCGCACAGUACUGCAUGGUACAGUGUGAGAAACUCCGGUGGUAUAAGAUGGACCCGCGUCUGAUUAGCCAGUUGGCGGGGUAACGGCCCACCAAAGCGACGAUCAGUAGCCGACCUGAGAGGGUGACCGGCCACAUUGGGACUGAGACACGGCCCAAACUCCUACGGAAGGCAGCAG
rnacentral:rRNA from 1 species